rfam:Cicer arietinum chromosome Ca3, whole genome shotgun sequence.
AGGUGCGAUCAUACCAGCAUUAAUACACCGGAUCCCAUCAGAACUCUUCAUUUAAGCGUGCUUGGGCAAGAGGAUUACUGGGAUGAGUGACCUCCUGGGAAGUCCUCGUGUUGCACCUU